UCUUAUGGAUAAGCAAAGAAAGUGGUUUCCGGAGAUGGAAUUUGCUCCUGGUGAAGAUGCUGUGAA
rnacentral:pre_miRNA from 1 species